GGGGAAUAUUGGACAAUGGGGGGAACCCUGAUCCAGCCAUGCCGCGUGUGUGAAGAAGGCCUUAUGGUUGUAAAGCACUUUAAGCGAGGAGGAGGAGCUCUUGGUUAAUACCCAAGAAGCUUGGACGUUACUCGCAGAAUAAGCACCGGCUAACUCUGUGCCAGCAGCCGCGGUAAUACAGAGGGUGCGAGCGUUAAUCGGAUUUACUGGGCGUAAAGCGUGCGUAGGCGGCUUUUUAAGUCGGAUGUGAAAUCCCCGAGCUUAACUUGGGAAUUGCAUUCGAUACUGGGAAGCUAGAGUAUGGGAGAGGAUGGUAGAAUUCCAGGUGUAGCGGUGAAAUGCGUAGAGAUCUGGAGGAAUACCGAUGGCGAAGGCAGCCAUCUGGCCUAAUACUGACGCUGAGGUACGAAAGCAUGGGGAGCAAAC
rnacentral:rRNA from 1 species